rnacentral:rRNA from 1 species
AUUGAACGCUGGCGGCAUGCCUUACACAUGCAAGUCGAACGGCAGCAUGAUCUAGCUUGCUAGAUUGAUGGCGAGUGGCGAACGGGUGAGUAAUACAUCGGAACGUGCCCUGUAGUGGGGGAUAACUAGUCGAAAGAUUGGCUAAUACCGCAUACGACCUGAGGGUGAAAGUGGGGGACCGCAAGGCCUCAUGCUAUAGGAGCGGCCGAUGUCUGAUUAGCUAGUUGGUGAGGUAAAGGCUCACCAAGGCGACGAUCAGUAGCUGGUCUGAGAGGACGAUCAGCCACACUGGGACUGAGACACGGCCCAGACUCCUACGGGAGGCAGCAGUGGGGAAUUUUGGACAAUGGGCGAAAGCCUGAUCCAGCAAUGCCGCGUGUGUGAAGAAGGCCUUCGGGUUGUAAAGCACUUUUGUCCGGAAAGAAAUGGCUCUGGUUAAUACCUGGGGUCGAUGACGGUACCGGAAGAAUAAGGACCGGCUAACUACGUG